GGACGAACCCUUGGAGAGAGCGGAUUAAAAUCCGCCGCCGAAGGCGAAAAUACAGCAAUGUGUGAAACGCUCAGGCAAAAGGACAGGGGAGAAAAG
rnacentral:ncRNA from 2 species